GAGAAUGACCAGCACUCUAUGGAGUUUGGGCCACUUACAAAUAUUUUUGUGUCUCAAUGAAAGUUUACAUAUAAUAAAGUUUGAUAUCCCUACUUUCAUAUAAAAAAAGAAUUUUUAAUUUAUUCCUCCCAGUUUCUGAGAAAAACAGUUUUGUGUAAAAGGUUAGGUUAGGUUUGGUAAGUAGGUUUUAUUAGGUAAAGUAAAGUAGGUAGUAGUUUCCACAUAUCACCAGGACGAUUUUAGUGCUGCCUAUAUGGUGCAAGUACAUAGUUAUUCCCAAUGAAUCACUAUUUGAAGAUGUACAAGCAUAUACGGAGCUUAAUACGAAGGAAAUAUAGUUCUCAACUCGACGUACAAGACAACGCGCAACGGUCAACGAUAUGGGAUUAAAAUAUCUAAAUUCGAACCACCCUGAAAACUGCAAUCAAAGAGUAUGUGAACACUACGACUGCAAUUAUCGAAAUUGACAGAAAGCAAAAACCAUAGACCUGCAACUAGCACUUAUCGAGUUGAUUCGAUUCGAUCAAGAU